rnacentral:tmRNA from 1 species
GGGGCUGCAUUUGGUUUCGACGUGGGUUCGGAUCCGCUGUGGUGCAUGUCGAGCUCGGUGCGCUCGUAAAUCAGACCGAAACAAGCUAAUUGCCAACGCAAAAAGCACCGGGUUCUCCCGUGUUGCAGCAAACGACAGCCUCAUCGCUGUCGCUGCCUAAGCACUAAGAACCUUCCGUCUCCUCGGAGACGGUCUCGCACCAGUUUGUCUACGGAUUGGGUGCGGUUGAAGGCGCAAGCCUCCAGUCGUACAGCGGGGUAAUUCACGCAGGCUGGGCUUCCCCCGGGUACCUUGGGGUGCGGCCGAGAUCCAAGGGUGCUGGUGACGGGUGCAGCGUGCGACUGCGCGACAUCCGCCAUGAGACUCAAACCAGCUCGCUAAACAUGUAGAUCUGCGCGGUAAAGGCUUGCGGACGGGGGUUCGAAUCCCCCCAGCUCCACCA